rnacentral:lncRNA from 1 species
AGUUAAAGACUGCCAUUUUGCCUCUUAGUGCGCAUGUGUGAGCCCUCUCAUCCGACUCCUGAGAUCUUAUCAGGAAGCUGCUGAUCACCAGCUUCAGGUGUUUCUAUUUAUUGGGAGACUGUCUUUCCCUGGCACCAGCUGCAACCAAUGAUUACUUUAGAGAGACAGUUUAACAACUGCCUGACCAUCACCUGAUGGUCAUCUGACAUUCCCAGGACUCCAGAUAAGAGCCCAGGCCAAAGGACACCUUGAUUUUGACCUUGUCAGACCUGGAGUUGAAAAACCAGCUGCACCCUUCUAGAAUUCUUACUUACAAAACUGGAGAUGUUACAAGACAAGAUGAUUUCACUGGAAGCUGAGUUUUGCCAGCUUUGGGGAAAUGCUGAUGCAGAACAUCAUUUAUUUAAGGCUGAUACUCAUGGAUAGAAGAGUCAAAGUGCGAAUAUAUGCACCCUUCUAUACGGAUUCUGCAGAAAGAUAUGCUUGGGUCAUGACUCAGGUGAAUUUCCUAUGAAACUUUGUCUUUGGUAAAGCAUCCCAUUCUUGGCUGUUCCAUAUAUAUAUAUAUGGUAAGUUUGGGAGUGGCCUUGCUAGUAAAGAAUAAAUUAUUUACUUGGUUCUAGCUAUUUACAAAGUUGCUGGUGACUAAUUGCUGGAAAGAAGCUGGGACGUUCUGUGGCCCCUCCAUUUUAUAUCCCCUCCCUUUGGUUCUCUAGGAAAUUGAGUUCAGGAAAGCUACCAGGAAUAAAACUCUUACUUUUUAUGCAUGUGUAUUUUUUUUCCAGACAAUUUGGAGAGAAUUCCCUGAAACAUUCACUGUACAACUCUACUUUCUUGAAUACUUACUAUAAUUAAAGUUCAUUUCUGAUUUACAUAAAGACCAA